AUUGAACGCUGGCGGCAUGCCUUACACAUGCAAGUCGAACGGUAACAGGUCUUCGGAUGCUGACGAAUGGCGAACGGGUGAGUAAUACAUCGGAACGUGCCUAGUAGUGGGGGAUAACUACUCGAAAGAGUGGCUAAUACCGCAUGAGAUCUACGGAUGAAAGCAGGGGAUCGCAAGACCUUGUGCUACUAGAGCGGCCGAUGGCAGAUUAGGUAGUUGGUGGGAUAAAAGCUUACCAAGCCGACGAUCUGUAGCUGGUCUGAGAGGACGAUCAGCCACACUGGGACUGAGACACGGCCCAGACUCCUACGGGAGGCAGCAGUGGGGAAUUUUGGACAAUGGGCGAAAGCCUGAUCCAGCAAUGCCGCGUGCAGGAUGAAGGCCUUCGGGUUGUAAACUGCUUUUGUACGGAACGAAAAGCCCUGGGUUAAUACCCUGGGGUCAUGACGGUACCGUAAGAAUAAGCACCGGCCAACUACGUGCCAGCCGCCGCAGUAA
rnacentral:rRNA from 1 species